GCAGGAGGAAACAUCACUGGCGUUUUAUGAAGGUUAAGGCGGGAAAUCUUUUUGUGUGCUAAUUAGCUGUUCAUGAUAACAGCAUAGUGUUUGAAUCAUCUGUGCUCAUCUAUCUCUUUGAGAACAUUCAGGAUCCAUUCUUUCCUCCCACGGGUCCAAAUCUGAGUACUCAAAAAGAAACUGGGGCAUCAGCAGUAACAGUAGUCCGGCUCUGUGGGACAGAAACUUACGCGUUCGGUCAAUGUGUAUCUGGCUGGUUCCGAGCAAGACACAAGGAUUCGAGACUCACGACAUAAUCACAGGCCAUUGGCAUCUGCUAGGGUAAAAAUAGAGUCUGAGUGACAUGGAGUGGUAGAACUUCUGCAUGGAGAAAGAAAGGAAACAGAAAAGAGUAACUGUCUGAAAGAGUCAAAAAAGGUAGCCUGCCCACAGAGGCAUGGCCAUUGAGUUCUGAGGUGUGGUUAGGAGUUUUCUGAAUGUUUCAGUAAAUGGCAAAUAUUGUUACAGCUUUGCCUAUCGAUUGCCACUGAGCUCUGUGGAGAUGAUACAGGUGUGGAGAGAUGUCUUCCUGAAAUCAGUGGAUAUAAAGCAAGGGUAGUGAGCAGACUCCCCAUUGUGAAAGGAGGUUUCUCUCUCUGGAUGAUCAUGGCCUUCCCAGAGCCCACUGACAACGAUGCCACAUCCUCUUGGAUGCAUUUGGUCAUUAAAACUUUACAAACGUA